rnacentral:rRNA from 1 species
UACGUAGGGUCCGAGCGUUGUCCGGAAUUAUUGGGCGUAAAGGGCUCGUAGGCGGUUUGUCGCGUCGGGAGUGAAAUCAUCGGGCUUAACUCGGUGCUUGCUUUCGAUACGGGCAGACUAGAGGCAUGCAGGGGAGAACGGAAUUCCUGGUGUAGCGGUGAAAUGCGCAGAUAUCAGGAGGAACACCGGUGGCGAAGGCGGUUCUCUGGGCAUGUCCUGACGCUGAGGAGCGAAAGUGUGGGGAGCGAACAGG